GAUGAACGCUGGCGGCGUGCCUAAUACAUGCAAGUCGAGCGAACAGAUAAGGAGCUUGCCCUUUGACGUUAGCGGCGGACGGGUGAGUAACACGUGGGUAACCUACCUAUAAGACUGGAAUAACUCCGGGAAACCGGGGCUAAUGCCGGAUAACAUUUAGAACCGCAUGGUUCUAAAGUGAAAGAUGGUUUUGCUAUCACUUAUAGAUGGACCCGCGCCGUAUUAGCUAGUUGGUAAGGUAACGGCUUACCAAGGCAACGAUACGUAGCCGACCUGAGAGGGGUGAGCGCCACCCCGGAAACUGAACAAGGCCCCAGCCCCUAAGGGAGGGAGGAAGAAGGGAAUCUUCCGAAAGGGGGGAAGGCCGGAGGGGGCAGCGCGGGGGGAGGAAGAAGGGUCUUCGGACCUAAAAACUCUGUUAUGGGGGAAAAAAAAAUGUGUAAGAAACUGUGCCCGUCUGAAGGGUACCUAAUAAGAAGGCCACGGCUAACUCCGUG
rnacentral:rRNA from 1 species